rnacentral:rRNA from 1 species
GACGAACGCUGGCGGCGUGCUUAACACAUGCAAGUCGAACGGAAAGGCCCUGCUUUUGUGGGGUGCUCGAGUGGCGAACGGGUGAGUAACACGUGAGUAACCUGCCCUUGACUUUGGGAUAACUUCAGGAAACUGGGGCUAAUACCGGAUAGGAGCUCCUGCUGCAUGGUGGGGGUUGGAAAGUUUCGGCGGUUGGGGAUGGACUCGCGGCUUAUCAGCUUGUUGGUGGGGUAGUGGCUUACCAAGGCUUUGACGGGUAGCCGGCCUGAGAGGGUGACCGGGGACGUGGGGAGGGGGAGACGGCGCGGACUCCUACGGGAGGCAGCAGUGGGGAAUAUUGCACAAUGGGCGGAAGCCUGAUGCAGCAACGCCGCGUGCGUGAUGACGGCCUUCGGGUUGUAAACCGCUUUCGCCUGUGACGAAGCGUGAGUGACGGUAAUGGGUAAAGAAGCACCGGCUAACUACGUG